rnacentral:rRNA from 1 species
CUGAGAAUAAACCACGAUAGGUCACGAUUUCUGGAAUGGAUCAUGGCUUAAAUCUACAUGGCCCCUGGAUUGGACUGCGGCCGAUCAGGCUGUUGGUGAGGUAAUGGCCCACCAAACCUAUAACCGGUACGGGCUCUGAGAGGAGAAGCCCAGAGAUGGGCACUGAGACAAGGGCCCAGGCCCUAUGGGGCGCAGCAGGCGCGAAACCUCUGCAAUAGGCGAAAGCCUGACAGGGUUACUCUGAGUGAUUUCCGCUAAGGGGAUCUUUUGGCACCUCUAAAAAUGGUGCAGAAUAAGGGGUGGGCAAGUCUGGUGUCAGCCGCCGCGGUAAUACCAGCACCCCGAGUGGUCGGGACGAUUAUUGGGCCUAAAGCAUCCGUAGCCGGUUCUGCAAGUCUUCCGUUAAAUCCAGCCGCUCAACGGAUGGGCCGCGGAGGAUACUACAGGACUAGGAGGCGGGAGAGGCAAGCGGUACUCAGUGGGUAGGGGUAAAAUCCUUUGAUCCAUUGAAGACCACCAGUGGCGAAGGCGGCUUGCCAGAACGCGCUCGACGGUGAGGGAUGAAAGCUGGGGGAGCAAACCGGAUUAGAUACCCGGGUAGUCCCAGCUGUAAACGAUGCAGACUCGGUGAUGGGCUAGCCUUGUGCCAGCCCAGUGCCGCAGGGAAGCCGUUAAGUCUGCCGCCUAGGGAGUACGGUCGCAAGACUGAAACUUAAAGGAAUUG